rnacentral:rRNA from 1 species
UACAGAGGGUGCAAGCGUUAAUCGGAAUUACUGGGCGUAAAGCGCGCGUAGGUGGUUUGUUAAGUUGAAUGUGAAAUCCCCGGGCUCAACCUGGGAACUGCAUCCAAAACUGGCAAGCUAGAGUAGGGCAGAGGGUGGUGGAAUUUCCUGUGUAGCGGUGAAAUGCGUAGAUAUAGGAAGGAACACCAGUGGCGAAGGCGACCACCUGGGCUCAUACUGACACUGAGGUGCGAAAGCGUGGGUAGCAAACAGG